rnacentral:rRNA from 1 species
UACAGAGGUCUCAAGCGUUGUUCGGAUUCAUUGGGCGUAAAGGGUGCGUAGGUGGCGCCGUAAGUCAGGUGUGAAAUUUCGGAGCUUAACUCCGAAACUGCAUUUGAUACUGCGGUGCUUGAGGACUGGAGAGGAGACUGGAAUUCACGGUGUAGCAGUGAAAUGCGUAGAGAUCGGGAGGAACACCAGCGGCGAAGGCGGCGACCUGGACAAGCACUGACACUCAACUACGAAAGCGUGGGGAGCAAACAGG